rnacentral:rRNA from 1 species
UACGUAGGGGGCUAGCGUUGUCCGGAUUUAUUGGGCGUAAAGAGCGUGUAGGCGGCCAGGUAGGUCUGCUGUGAAAACUCGAGGCUCAACCUCGAGACGCCGAUGGAAACCAUCUAACUAGAGUCCGGUAGGGGAGCGUGGAAUUCCUGGUGUAGCGGUGAAAUGCGCAGAUAUCAGGAGGAACACCAACGGCGAAGGCGGCGCUCUGGGCCGGUACUGACACUGAGGAGCGAAAGCGUGGGGAUCAAACAGG